rnacentral:lncRNA from 1 species
ACUUAUUACAACGAAUGUCUCAAAAGAGAACUUAUUACACUAAUAUGGCUUAAGGCCAUCUAAAAACGAUAACAGCGGAAGGCUUGGAAGAUAAAGUGAGUCCAUCAAACUCCAACGGCAUAGCUGAGUGAACGACAACGACCUAUGGCACCUUACUCGUCGUCUGAAAGCUCCUUACACAUAGAGAAUGAACAGAGUAAAUGCUAUCACUACAUGCCCAUAUGGCUGGUGGAAAGCUCUAUGGUUACAGUUUUGCAUAAAGCUAAUUUUUCCCUACAUCAAAGGAAUAAAUUUUUGUUUAACUAUCAUGGUGGUUGUUAAAAAUUGAGAACGUUCCUCCAACUCAAUCCCAAUUAAACAUCAUCAUUAAACCUAAUCAAUUAAUUUAGAGUGAUGAGAUCAACAUGAUAAUCCAAGAACCACAUACUCAAGAUGUCCAUAACCGGGGACACGGCUAACCAUGAUUAGUUUAUACACUCUGCAGAGGUUUGCGCACUUUUCCCCACAAGACUCGAUCUCCUCCGUUGAAUUUCUUGCACUACAUGAUGUUUGAGAAACGGAUGACCGAGACACAGUCUUUCAGAAGCAUUAACUCUCUACAUUGGGUAGACUGUACCAUCUACAACCCACUACAUCUGCUAGUCUACCUCUUCAAGAGCUCACGCAACUUACUCAACUAUGCCAGAGCCCAUAUAUGCUUGCGGCUACACACGGAAGUUUCUAGCAUGAAUAAUCUUAUGAUCCCUUUGAGCCUGGGUGGCGAACGGUAGGAUGAUCACACGGGUACUCCGGGAUAUCCUAGGACAACACUGGAUUCUCCUAGUGCCCUGACAACCACUGGGUACUCCAGGGUGCCUCAACCAAUCCACCCAGAUGUGUAUUUAAGUAGCCACCUUAAGUUAACCAUUAAUUAACAAUACUCACAUCUGUCAUGGAUACACUCACCCAAUCCACGUCUACGAGCAUAGCAUAGCAAUCCUGAGCAUAACGUAGAAGUAACUCCCAAAGGUUUGAUACUAAAAGGGCAAUAGGUUCUACCUCAUCAUCUACUUCCCAAAACCCACAUGUUAUAACAGAUCCUAACCAUGCAAUGUUCGAGGGUUGAUCUAAUGCAUAAAAACUGGGUAAUAAAGGGAUAUGAUCAAAGUGUUACUUGCCCUGCUGAUGAUCCGCAAAACCUAGAGACUCGUAGUAGCACGCUUCGCACUCCGGGUACUCUAUCGCAAACAAACAAUAACAUAAAUAAGCACUCAACUAGAAGCACGGGUAAAACUCAAAUAAGAGAUCUAACUAGAAAGUUCAACUGAAGAACUCCGGUUUGCAAAAAGAAUCAAAUCAAACGGAGCAACGAAACUCAACUACGAAAGAAAGAAGAUUUGUUUACUAAUCUGGACUAAAGUCAAAUUUUACAGUACCGAAAUCUUGUUCAAGUUGGUUAAAAAGAAAAAGGGCUUCGAGAUGAAGAUCUAGGCGCUUGUUUCACCUGAAUCGGAUAAACAAGCGAAAAGAUAAACUAAAACGAAGAUGAGGGCAGAAAUCACGAUCGAAAAUAAUUGCGGAAGUACCCUGAAAAAAUAAAACUAGACGAACAGGCUAACGAACGAACGUUCGCUGUCUGCGGCUAACAGACGAACAGCGUUCGUUAAACCGAACGUACGGACGAACGUCCGCUAUUUAACUAAACCGAAAAAACCAAACCAAUCUGAAAAAAACUAAAAACUAGAUCUAGGGUUUCGAAAAAAAAUGAUCGGUUUUUCCGGGAGAACCGGCGGCGGGCAGCGGCUACCUCGGCGGGGUCGACGGUGGCGGGGCUGCUCCGGCGGCGGGGUUGACUGCGGCGGCUCCGGCGGCGGGACGGGGCGACGGCGAAGCUAGUGGCGGCGUGGGCGGGGCUAGGCUUUCGGGGGCGGCGGCUGGGGUGGCUGCGGGCCUCGGUCCUCGGCUUAUAAAGCCGGCCGGGUUACUGUCUGCCUCGGGCACGGCCCGGUUAGGUCGGUUAGCUUUUUUUUUAAAUAAAUCCUGACGCAGAAAAACUAAUAAAAGAAAUACUAAACGGAGUCCAAAAAUCCUGAAAUAAAUUUUCUCGGUCCUGUAAUAAUAUUUCGGAGAAAGUGAACAUUUAUUUGGGUCUCUAAUGCAAUUUUGAAAAACGCAUUUUUUUCCUAAUUCAAAUAAAAUAGCAAUAAAACUCCAAAUAAAAUUCUUAUUUGAUUUUAAUAUUUUCCUCCAAUACUUCUUUAUUUUGGAGAAGUCAUUUUAUCCCCUCUCUUUUAUUUUAACAUUGGAAAUAUUCGAAGAGAAAAUAAUUAAAACCAAAUGAUCCUCUUUUCAAAAUUUGAGAAAAACUCAAUUAUGAAUAUAACGAAAUCCCCAACUCUCUCCGUGGGUCCUUGGGUUGCUUAGUAUUUCUAGGAUCAACCAAAAAUGCAAUAAAAUAUGAUAUGCAAUGAUGACCUAUUGUAUAACAUUCCAAAUUGAAAAUUUGGGAUGUUACAAACCUACCCUCCUUAAAAUGAAUCUUGCCCUCGAGAUUCGGGUUGGCUAGAAAAUAGGUGCGGGUGGUGCUUCACUAAGUCUUCCUCUCGUUCCCAGGUGGCUUCAUCCGCGGUAUGGUGGCUCCACUGAACUUUGCAGAACUUGAUAAUCUUGCUGCGUGUGACUCGGCUGGCAAACUCGAGAAUCUUCACUGGUUUCUCCUCGUAGGUCAAAUUGUUAUCCAACUGAAUUGCUUCCAGUGGCACUGUAUCUCUCAGAGGAAUAUCGGCCAUCUCUGCGUGACACUUAUUCAAUUGGGAAACGUGGAACACAUCGUGAACUCCUGACAAUCCCUCGGGCAGUUCCAACUUGUAAGCAACUUCUCCCAUACGUCCCAAAACUUUGUAUGGUCCCACAAAACGUGGUGCUGACUUUCCCUUAACUCCAAAACGCUUAACUCCUCGAAGUGGGGACACACGAAGAUAUACUCUGUCUCCAAAUUCGUAAAUUGUCUCCUUGCGUUUAGAAUCCGCAUAGCUCUUCUGCCUGGACUGGGCUACCUUGAGUCUAUUGCGAAUUAGUUUAACCUUCUCUUCAGACUCCUUAAUCAAAUCUGGUCCAAACAACUGACGGUCUCCAACUUUAUCCCACACCAACGGUGUCCUGCACCUCCUUCCGUACAAAGCUUCGAAAGGGGCCAUCUUCAAACUGGCUUGAUAACUGUUAUUUUAAGAGAACUCUGCAUACGGCAGAUUGUCGUCCCAACUAGGUCCAUAAUCUAGCGCACAAGCUCUCAACAUGUCCUCCAGAAUCUGAUUGACUCUCUCAGUCUAUCCAUCUGUCUGUGGAUGAAAGGUUGUACUGAACUCUAGCCUGCUACCCAAAGUCUCAUGCAACUGAUUCCAAAACUUUGAGGUAAACUGGGUUCCUCUAUCUGAUACAAUGGUCCUCGGAACUCCAUGCAGACAUAUGAUCCUGGUCAUGUAUAUCUUUUGCCAACUUAGCACUGGUGUAAGUGGUCUUCACUGGGAUGAAAUGAGCUACCUUCGUCAACCGAUCGACUACAACCCACAUCGAGGCAUAGCCUGCAUGAGUCCUGGGCAAACCCGUGAUAAAAUGCAUGCCUAACUUAUCCCACUUCCAUUCGGGUAUCGGCAAUGGCUGUAGCAAACCUGCUGGCUUCUGAUGCUCUGCCUUUACUCUCUGGCAUACAUCGCAUACCGCUACAUACUCGACAAUAUCCUUCUUCAUCCCGGUCCACCAGAAAUUGUCCUUCAAAUCCAGAUACAUCUUGGUAUUUCCUGGGUGAAUCGAAUACGGUGAAUCAUGGGCCUCCUGCAGAAUCAACUUCCUAAUCUCGGGGUCAUUAGUCACAUAUACGCGAUCCUCAAACCAUAAAGUAUCGUGCUCAUCCUCAAGAAAUCCUUUAGCCUUUACUUUGCUCAUCCUUUCCUUUAUUUCGGCAAUCUCUUUGUCAGUCUUCUGAGCUUCUCUGAUCUUAUCCAUCAAAGCAGACUGAAUUUCCAAUGCUGCUACAUAACCUCUCGGAACUAUUUCCAAACAUAGCUCGCGAAGAUCCUCUGCUAACUCCUUAGGUAAUCCUCCGGUCAUGAGUGUAUUAACAUGACUCUUGUGACUCAACGUAUCGGCUUCCAGGUUAGCCUUUCCGGGAUGGUAGUGCAACUUCAUAUCAUAAUCCUUAAUGAGCUCCAACCAUCUCCUUUGCCUGAGAUUCAACUCCUUCUGCGUGAAAAUAUACUUCAAACUCUUGUGAUCCGUGUAUACCUCAAUGUGGUUUCCGAUGAGAAAAUGUCUCCAGGUCUUCAAUGCAUGAACUACGGCUGCUAACUCCAAAUCAUGUGUAGCAUAAUUUAGCUCAUGAGGUUUAAGUUUUCGUAAGGCAUAUGAAACAACUCUUCCCUCGUGCAUAAGCAUUGCGCCAAGUCCGCGAUGAGAAGCGUCGCAAUACACUUGAUAAUCCUUGCGUUGAUCUGGAAGAAUCAACACUGGGGCUGUAACCAAACGCUUCUUCAACUCCUGAAAACUGGCCUCACAUUCCUCAGUCCGAUUGAACUUGGUGUCCUUCUUCAACAACUCCGGCAUGGGCUUUGCAAUCUUAGAGAAAUUCUCAAUGAACCUUCUGUAGUACCCUGCGAGUCCAAGAAAACUCCGGAUCUCUCCAACCGACGUGGGUGUUUCUGGCGUGGCGUGUCGGUUGCACUAGCGUAACAUGGUCAUGUUGGUCGCGGGAUCGAGUCAGGAGCUGCGCUCUUUGGUUUUUCAACCUUGGUGGGGUCUACUGCUAUUCCCUCUCCGGAUAUAACAUGUCCGAGGAAUCCAACUUCCUUCAACCAAAACUCACACUAGCUGAACUUGGCAUAUAACUGAUGUUCCCUGAGCUUCUCGAGAACCAAACUCCUCUUCAUUCUUCGAGUAGACCAAUAUAUCAUCAAUGAACACCACGACGAACUUAUCCAAGAACUCCAUAAACACCUUGUUCAUCAUGUUCAUGAAAUAGGCAGGCGCGUUAGUCAGACCAAAUGACAUGACGGUAUACUCACAUAGCUUGUACCUUGUGGUAAAAGUUGUCUUAGGUAUAUCCUGCUCUCAAAUCUUCAAUUGGUGGUAUCCUGAUCGCAGAUCGAUCUUGGAAAAUACUUUAGCUCCUUGCAACUGGUCAAACAAAUCAUUGAUCAUCGGCAGUGGGUACUUGUUCUUGAUCAUCACUUCAUUCAAUGCACGAUAAUCAACAACCAUCCUUAAUGAUCAAUCCUUCUUGUCCACUAGAAGUACUGGUGAUCCCCAAGGUGUUGAACUUGGGCGAAUAUAACCUUUAUCCAGUAACUCCUUAAUUUGCUUCUUAAUCUCCUCCAAAUACUUGGCGGGCAUCCGAUACGGUCUCUUAGAUAUUGUCCCUGUGCCUGGCAAAAGCUCAAUCAAAAACUCAAUGCCUCUAUCCGAUGGCAUGCCUGGCAAGUCCUCUGGAAAUACAUCAGGGAAAUCCUUCACCACUGUACUUCCUCCUGUACAACUCCUGAUAAGGAAUUUACUUGAGUCCUCUUCGGCACAUGCCGGGAUACAUACUUAAUCCUUCUUCCUUCUGGGGUGGUGAGCAUAAUCGACUUACUGGCACAGUCAAUGUUCCCUCCAUACUUUGAUAACCAAUCCAUGCCUAAUAUUAUAUCCAGUCCUUGUGACUCCAAUACUAUUAGGUCUGAGGGGAACACGUAGUUACCAAUCCUUAAUGGUAACCGAUCACACCAUAGGCUGGCCAUAUACUCUGCUCCUGGCAAGGUUACUAACAUGGGUGACCUAAGGGCUUGGGUUGGCAAGUUAUACUUAUUCACAAAUCCCUUUGAUAUGUAUGAAUGUGAUGCACUAGUAUCAAAAAUAACGAUUGCAGUAAAUGACUUAACCAAAAACUUACCUAUAACUGCAUCGGGUUGUGUUUCAACCUCCUCCACGCUAACAUGGUUCACUUGUCCCCUGUUGAAAGGGUUAGGUUUCUUCCCAGAGCUUCCAUUGCCAUUUCCAUUCUUUGCUUCAGAACACUCUGUGGCGUAAUGUCCAUUCUUCCCGCACUUGAAACAAGUAAUGUGACUUAGAUCCUUCUUGGCAGGCGUUGCUAGGUUGGAACGGUUCUGGCCGUUGCUUCGUCCAUUCCCAUUUCCAUUCUUGGGGCCACUAUGGUUAUGCAAACUUCCUCCAUUGGAAUUAUGGCCUCCAUUGUUAUGGUGAACGUGUCCUCCCGAGUUCGGGGUAAACCGGGGCCUCUGCUGAGCUCCUGAAUUGUACUUCCCUUGUCCAUACUUCCUCUUGCGGUUGUCUAUCUGCUGCUGCUUCCCUUCUAUCAUGAGAGCUCUAUCUACCAACUCCUAGUAGUUGUUGAAGGUUGCCACCAUCAACUGCAUGCUCAGCUCAUCAUUCAGUCCUUCCAGAAACUUCUCCUGCUUAGCGGCAUCUGUAGCUACGUCAUCAGGGGCAUAACGUGCUAACUUACUAAACUCAUCCACAUACUGGCCCACUGUGCGUCCUCCUUGGUGCAAGUUGCGAAACUCGCGCUUCUUCAUGUUCAUAGCUCCAGCUGAAACAUGGGCAGUGCAGAAUGCCUGCCGAAACUGGUCCCAUGUAACAGUGUCAAUGGGGCUGUGAAAUUCUCCCACCAUGAUGCUGCUGGUCCAUCAAGCUGAUGUGCGGAAAAACGCACUCUCUCCGCAUCUGUGCAUCCUGCAGUGGUCAGCUCCCUUCCAAUCUUGCGGAGCCAAUCAUCUUCAACAAUCGGCUCGGUGCUACUAGAGAACACCGGCAGAUUCAGCCUUAGGAAACGGGCUAAGUGAUCAACAGGUGGUGGUGGUGGUGGUGGGUUGUUGUUGUUGUUGUUGUUCCCUAGGUUCUGAUUCUGAACUAGUAGCUGCAUCAAGGUAUUCUACUGCUAGAUCAACUGAGUGAGCUCCGGUGGGAAAGCAAAUCCAUUGUCACGUCUCGGAGGCAUCUGAUGGGUUUAGAAAAGGUGAGAAAACAGAAUAGAAUGAGGUCUAGAGGGAAAACACUACCCAUAUGCACAUGAGACAAACACAAUCAUAUCACUUCAAUCAAUUCAAACAAGGGCAUACAAUCGAUCUAACUAUCGUUACAAAAGUUCUCGGACUAUACUAUAUACAUGGGGGAAUACUACUACUGAUAUGGUGGUCGACUAGAAGUUCUAAUCGGUAGAAGACUUCAUGAUAUCUGCUCCAGCUUCAUCAACAUAGUCAUCAUCGCUAUCGUCGGGGUCCGAGUCGGUGUCGUCGAUGAUGAUGUAGUCCUCCGAACGAAUAUCCUUGGAAUCGUCGUCAUCUCCUCCUAGCGCGGGGUCUCCCAUGAAUACUCCUAGCUUCCUUGUCAGGUCGUCAUUCUUCUCCACGAGUAUCAUCAUUGCCGCAUCAUAUCCAUCGCGUGUAGACUUGAGUUCUUCCUCUAGCUCCGUGAUCCUGGUCAUUGCCUUCUUCAGAUCUAUCAUGCCUGCGCACAUCUGAUUCUCCUGGCGACGAAUGUGCUGGUUUAACUCCUGGAUGAAAGCUACAAUGGACCUAUCCCUCCUGGUGCUGAUCAUCUCCCAUUGCUCAUCUCAGCGCCCACAAAUUUGGUAGAUAGUAUCCUUGAGAUCCUUGUGGUAAACUCCUCCAAUGCGUCCCAUAGUGAUGUGGGCUGCCAUGCUCUCUCCUAGACUCCAGGUUGGUGCAUCAAAGGAAAACUCUAUAGGCUCAGUGACUGGCAUGAACGUCCUUCCGGGAACUUGAACUCGAAUCAUCCAACGCUCCUCUUCUGGUAAAGUGGCGAUGUAGGUCCCGGUGACGCUUGGUAUUCCAAUGUUCAGGUACCUAGUAACUUGCUUCAAGUGUCGUCCAAAAGGAGUGUCUUCAUCCGGUUGUGUAAACUUGUUCCAUGAGUCCGCCAUCCUAUAGAGUAGAAAAGGAGAGGAGUCAGAAAUGAGUGGAGAGGAGUGACCUAGGGUUUUAGCUUAGUGGUCGUGUCCUACAGUCAGCGUGUGCUCGGAUACCAUCUUGUAGCGACCAGACCUCAAACAAUCUAGUCUCUGUGCAUCAGUGUUAUCCCUGGACCGGUAAUGCUGACACGCAUAGUACUUGAGGAUUUAUAACAGAGUUUCAAUCACACACUUAUUACAACGAAUGUCUCAAAAGAGAACUUAUUAUAAUAAUAUGGCUUAAGGCGAUCUAAAAACGAUAACAGCGGAAGCCUUGGAAGAUAAAGUCAGUCCAUCAAACUCCAACGGCAUAGCUGAGUGAACGACAACGACCUAUGGCACCUUACUCGUCGUCUGAAAAGUCUGCAACAUGAAAUGUUGCAGCCCGAAA